AACGAACGCUGGCGGCAUGCCUAACACAUGCAAGUCGAACGAGACCUUCGGGUUUAGUGGCGCACGGGUGCGUAACGCGUGGGAACCUGCCCUUAGGUUCGGAAUAACUCCCCGAAAGGGGUGCUAAUACCGGAGAAUGUCUUCGGACCAAAGAUUUAUCGCCGUUGGAUGGGCCCGCGUUGGAUUAGUUAGUUGGUAGGGUAAAAGCCUACCAAGGCGACGAUCCAUAGCUGGUCUGGGAGGAUGAUCAGCCACACUGGGACUGAGACACGGCCCAGACUCCUACGGGAGGCAGCAGUGGGGAAUAUUGGACAAUGGGCGGAAGCCUGAUCCAGCAAUGCCGCGUGAGUGAUGAAGGCCUUAGGGUUGUAAAGCUCUUUUACCCGGGAUGAUAAUGACAGUACCGGGAGAAUAAGCACCGGCUAACUCCGUG
rnacentral:rRNA from 1 species